rfam:Paenibacillus popilliae ATCC 14706 DNA, contig: contig072.
AGAGUCCCAUCGGGAUAAAGCCUAGCCAGCAGUCCUGUAGCUAGUUCUUGAAGGCUAUUGGGCAACGAAUAGCUUAAGCGUAGAACGGCAAAAUAGCGGGCCGAAAGCGAAAGCUGAAGGGACUGAGCCUCGAAAAUACGUGGAGACAGGCCGAUGUAGUUACACAUACAGAAGGGAAUAUCGGUUCGAGCAUUUAUGAGUUUGAGUCGGCACUCUCGGGUCUGAGAGCU